rnacentral:rRNA from 1 species
UUGCCUACGGGACGCAGCAGUGGGGAAUAUUGCACAAUGGGGGAAACCCUGAUGCAGCAACGCCGCGUGAGUGAAGAAGUAUUUCGAUAUGUAAAGCUCUAUCAGCAGGGAAGAAGAUGACGGUACCUGAGUAAGAAGCCCCGGCUAACUACGUGCCAGCAGCCGCGGUAAUACGUAGGGAGCAAGCGUUAUCCGGAUUUAUUGGGUGUAAAGGGUGCGUAGACGGGAAUGCAAGUUGGUUGUGAAAUCCCUCGGCUUAACUGAGGAACUGCAACCAAAACUACAUUUCUUGAGUGCUGGAGAGG